UACGUAGGAGGCGAGCGUUGUCCGGAAUUACUGGGCGUAAAGAGCGCGUAGGCGGCGCUGUACGACCCGUGUGAAAGCCCCCGGCUCAACUGGGGAGGGUCAUCGGUAACGGUCGUGCUAUGAGUGCAGGAGAGGGAAGUGGAACUCCGGGAGUAGCGGUGAAAUGCGUAGAGACCCGGAGGAACACCAGUGGCGAAGGCGGCUUCCUGGUCUGCGACUGACGCUGUGGCGCGAAAGCUAGGGGAGCAAACGGG
rnacentral:rRNA from 1 species